UCUCACUCAGAUCCAUACAGCUGAAAAAAUGUGUACAUCUGCUGGUUUUGAGUAAGACAUC
ensembl:miRNA